UUUCUAUGUAGUAUAUGGAAUGGACUCUGUGUGUCAUUUAAAAGCACUUUAGCUGAUAUGAUAGAAGGAUGAUGGUUCUUGGAGUCAAUAGGUUUGAUUUUUAGUACUGAUUCUUCCAACUACCAGUUUUAAAAUGCUGGACAAUUUCUCUCUCUCUCUCUUUCUUUCUCUUUCUCUCUCUCCCUCCCUCCUUCCCCCUCCCCCCCUGCUUGUAAGAGAAAUAAAGAUUUCUUGUUCAUGGAGAUCUUGGGGAAGACCAAAUAAGAUGACAUAUAAAGCACUUAGCAAAUGUGUCACUCACAAAGCGGGUACUGAAUACAUGUUACUUCUCUCUCCUUCCCUGCCGGCCCUGCUGCUGUAUUUUAAACUCUGGUUACUGACAGUUUUAUAAAACUGCUAUGAAAUCUGAGGGGAACUGAAACUGUCAUUCUAAUUCAUGGGAGUUGGUUAUCUUCACAAUGGUCUCAGGCCCCGAAUAUGUGACACAAAUGUUUUUGUGAGCCCCCCUAAAACAGAAGGAAAUUUGUCUGGAUAUUAUUUUACUAAUCAUUCGUACCCAUCUUGGCUGUGGUGCACUAUCUUAUUUCUAUUACUCAAAGCUGUAUUUAAAGCAAACUUCUCCCCAAUUGCUGAUGAUAAAAUGUAGCUUCGGAGCCGGCUCAACCAAGUCUUUGUACAUUACUUCAUGUUUCAUUCAUUUAUGUUUCUAAUCUCAAUGCCAUUUUCAGUAUGUUUAACUGUAAGCUGUGUAUAACAUUAAAAUGCCUCUAUCACCUUAUUUUAAAAUAUAUAUAAACAGUGUCAUUCAUCUUAUAAAAAUGUAGUAAGUUGA